rnacentral:rRNA from 1 species
GUAAUAGCUCACUGGUCGAGUCGGCCUGCGCGGAAGAUGUAACGGGGCUAAACCAUGCACCGAAGCUGCGGCAGCGAACGUAUCACUUAAAGCGAUUCAGCGGAUUACGAUUGACGGAGCGAAGCGACGUCAAAGCGUAUACAAAGUCGAGUCGGUUUAAGGAUACGUUCGUUGGGUAGGGGAGCGUUCUGUAAGCCUGUGAAGGUGGCCUGUGAGGGUUGCUGGAGGUAUCAGAAGUGCGAAUGCUGACAUAAGUAACGAUAAAGCGGGUGAAAAGCCCGCUCGCCGGAAGACCAAGGGUUCCUGUCCAACGUUAAUCGGGGCAGGGUGAGUCGACCCCUAAGGCGAGGCCGAAAGGCGUAGUCGAUGGGAAACGGGUUAAUAUUCCCGUACUUGGUGUUACUGCGAAGGGGGGACGGAGAAGGCUAUGUUGGCCGGGCGACGGUUGUCCCGGUUUAAGCGUGUAGGCUGGUUUUCCAGGCAAAUCCGGAAAAUCAAGGCUGAGGCGUGAUGACGAGGCACUACGGUGCUGAAGCAACAAAUGCCCUGCUUCCAGGAAAAGCCUCUAAGCAUCAGGUAACAUCAAAUC